UAUUUAUGUGUAGAUGCAAAUGAAUGCAAUAGAUAUUUAAAAAUAGCAUAUCAUACCACCUGCAGGUGGAGGUGGUGGGAGGAAAGCAUGGCUGAUGCCAAAUAUUUGAUCUGCACUUUGAUCCAGCUGCAGGGUUCUGGCAGGUGCCCUUAGAAAAACAGGGCAUGCAUAUUGCUACAUAUUCAAUGGCCCUUCGGGAAGCUGCUGCUUCCUGUGAGCCCUGCUUGGGCUGUGCUCGGUGCCCAGUGUGCCUAUGGAUGCAUGAAGAGUUUUGGGCUAUACAGAGAAGACACUGGGAUCCAGGGAAAAGCAGUAGGAGGAGAAGCUGGCGGUUCUGAGGAAAACUGGAGCUCCUGGGCACACAAACAAAGCUGUGAAUCCUGUGUAAUAGAAACAGAAUACUCAUCAUGUCUCCACACACAGAUAUGGACAACCACAUAUACUGCAGCAUUCAAUCCUGCUGUUCUUCAGUGCUGAAAACAUCUAUCAGUUUCCUUGGGAGUCUGGAAGUGUCCAGGAGAUGUGUGUUUGAGCCCUCAGCAGGGUACAAUUCAGACCAACUGGUUCCUCAGCUACAUCAGCAUGGACUGACCCAGGGAGCACUGCAUUCAGGGUGAAUGCUGGCAGCUUCAUGCCUUGAACCCAAAAUAUGCAAUACAUUCUUUGCUGCAGAGCUGGCUGCAGCAGAAAGCAGAACACAUGCUUUCUAUUCACCUUGAUUGUACUUAAUAAACAGCAUUAAACACUCUCA